GGCGAGAUGGCCGAGCGGUCUAAGGCGCCAGACUAAGGAUCAACAGCGAGUAGCUGUACAUCUUCCGAUAAUAUUGGAAUCUGGUCCGAAAGGGCGUGGGUUCGAAUCCCACUCUCGUCA
rnacentral:tRNA from 1 species